rnacentral:rRNA from 1 species
AUGGACAGGAUAUUGGUGAGUACUUCCACAGGCGCGAUGAACUCCGUCUUGCGUAAGUUGACCAACCUCAUGGGGGAGGAGUUCGCCAAGCUCAAAAACCUCCGGAAAGAGGUCAAGUUCGUCAGCGAUGAACUUAGCGGCAUGAAGGAUGCACUUGAGGGGCUUUCUUAUCUGGAUGAGCUAGAUCCACAAACCAAGAGAUGGAGGGACAUCGUCAGGGAGAUGUCGUACGACAUCGAGGAAAUCAUUGAUGACUUUAUGCAAAACAUUGGAGGCACCGAUAAAAGUGAUGGGUUUGUCAGCAGCACGAUACGACGCCUCAAAACUUUGAGGUCUCGCCAUCGGAUUGCUCAACAAAUCGAGGACGUAAAGAAACUUGUUCUCGAGACAAGUGCACGGCAUCAAAGGUAUAAGAUUGAUACCUCCUCAUCAAGCAAUGUGGCCAUUGACCCACGUGUUGCCACGCUCUAUGAAAACGCAGCUAACCUUGUUGGUGUUGAAGAGCCAACGAAUGAGCUUAUUAACUUGCUAAGAGAUGGGGAGAAGAAGUUGAAAGUGGUAUCUAUUGUUGGAUUUGGAGGUCUAGGCAAAACAACACUUGCUAGUGUGGUACAUGGUAAGCUCAAGGGUGAAUUUAGCAGUUGUACUGCUUUUGUGCUCGUUUCUCAGAAGCCAGACAUCCCAAAACUUCUGCGUGGUUUACUAUCACAACUUGGGGUAGAGCCAUCUAUUCACGCAUGCGAGUCACAUCUUAUCGACAUGCUCAGGGAACAUCUCAAAAAUGAGAGGUACUUGAUUAUAAUUGAUGAUAUAUGGGAUGUAUCAGCCUGGGAUAUUAUCAAAUGUGUUUUUCCAGAAAAUUAUCUUGGGAGCAGAGUAAUAACUACUACUAGAAUUCAGGUUGUGGCUAAGGCAUGUUGUUUCCAUGGUCAUGAUCACAUUUUAGAAAUGAAGCCCCUCAACGACAAAGACUCGAGAAGACUAUUUUUUGGCAGGAUAUUUGGCUCCGAGGAAGCUUGCCCUCACCAUCUUAGAGGUGUUUCAGUUGAAAUUCUUAAAAAAUGUGGUGGUUUGCCUCUUGCAAUUGUUACUAUAUCCAGCAUGCUAGCCAGUGAAGAUUCCAUCCAAAAAGAAAGGUGGGAACAUGUAAGGAGUUGUUUAGGCUCAUUAACAAAUCUCACGCUGGAAGGAGUUAGGCAAAUCUUAAACCUUAGCUACAGAGAUCUUCCCCUUCAUCUUAAGACGUGCUUGUUGUAUCUUGGUAUGUAUCCAGAGGACUACAUAAUAUCAAGGUAUGAUCUAGAACGCCAAUGGAUGGCAGAAGGAUUUGCCGGCAAAGAGAAUGGACAAGAUGGUGUGAAGGUCGCAAGUAAUUAUUUCAAUGAGCUUGUCAAUAGGAGUCUUAUUCAACCUGUAAAAUUUGACAGCAGAGGGUCAGUGACAAAAUGCAGAAUACAUGAUAUGAUGCUCGAUCUAAUCUUGCUCAAGUCCGCAGAAGAGAAUUUUUUCACUAUAGUGGAUGACACACGAGCCAUUACAGGACUGGAUUACAAGAUCCGUCGACUUUCUAUUCACUUGGAUAGUCUAAGUAAUGGUCAAGCAAUAUUACCGAGGAACACUAGUAUGUCACAUGUCCGAUCAGUUAUGUUCUUUGGGAGCUCCGAGAGUACACCUGAUCUAUUAGAGUUCAAGUUCCUCCGAGUUCUGUUUAUUAACCUCCCUCGUGCUACAGUUGAUCUGAGUGGACUGCCUAAAUUGUAUCAGCUGAGGUAUUUACGGAUUAGUCGCAUUUGCUUGUACCAACUACCAGCACAGAUUAGAGCGCUACAACACUUGCAAACACUUGAUCUAGGAAGGUGUUCCAAUAUUCCCUCAGAUAUAGUUCAACUACCACACUUGAUGAAUCUAAAUGUUGGAUCAGAGGUUUUUGAUGGGAUUGGCAAGAUGAAGUCCCUACAACAUCUAUGUGCAUUUGAUUUGGCGGUGAACACCAUAGAUAAUAUCGAAAACAUUGGUGAGCUGACCAAUCUGAGAUAUCUAUUUAUCUCAUGUGGCCCUCAUCCGGAAGAUACGGAGAGACGCGUGGAUGUAUUACGCUCUUCUCUGGGGAAACUUCGGAACCUUGAUAACCUGCUUGUCAGUAUGAGGGGCUGCAUUGAUGGCUUGAUGCCAUUGUCUCCUCCCCCAACUCCUUACCGACUUGAGAGAUUCGUCAUGUUCCGGAACUGCUGGUUUUCCAGGAUCCCUAGUUGGAUAGGGGAACUCCAUAACCUCGGUGAACUACAGUUGCAAGUUUGUGAGCUGCUAAACGAUGGUGUUGGUAUCCUUUCAGAACUGCCCGUCCUCGUUCACCUUGAUAUGGAUAUCCGAAGAGCCGUAGAUAAAAUGAUUGCCAUAUGUGCGGGGAGAGGAACAUUCCCUGCUCUAAAGCGUUUUUCUCUCCAAAUAAGCAGCAUGACAUACCUGGACUUCCAGGCUGGUGUAAUGCCUAAACUCCAGAGACUCGAGGUAAUGCAUAAUAUGAGUGGAUCAGAUCAGAAUGGGGCUGCACCAGCCGGCAUCGAGCACUUGUUAGCGCUUGAAGAAUUAUCUGCAGCAAUCGGCUGUGAAGGUGCUACAGAACCCACGAAGAGAAGUACAGAGUCUGCCUUGAGGAGUGCUAUCAACAUGCAUCCAAGCCAUCCUCGUGUUACAAUCAGAUUCUUCCGUCGCAAUUUGAAAUUUUUACCGGAGUAA